rnacentral:sRNA from 1 species
AAACUUUAGCUUUUAGGAUCUGGUUGUGCUUCUAGUUCUUAUAAUCAAUCAUACACAUGACAUCUAGUCAUAUUUGACUCUAAAACACUAACAAGCUUCUUCUUGCUUUUCAAAGCUUUGAUGGUGAAGCCGAAGUCCGUAUGAGUCUUUGGCUUUGUAUCUUCUAAGAAGGAAACAAUAUUUAGGCUUUCAAGAUCCGGUUGCGUAUUU